GGUGGGUGUCUGUGAGUGAGCCCUUGUGUGUGCAGGCCUUUGUGUAUAAGUGCAGGCAUGGGAAGGGUGUAUUAGGAGCAUGGAUUUGCAGGCCGACUCACUAGCAGGUGUGUGCAAAUACAUAUUCAGUUGCGUAUGUCGGGCAUCCACACUCUGUGUUACCCAUUGUCAAUCCUAGCCUUUUUUUCUCCACAGGGUCCAGUUGUUCCCUGGAGAGAGGGCUAGCGUCAUUUAUCUGAGGGUUGUGCUGAUCCACUCUCCUGGGAUUUCCCAGGCCACCUCUCCUAUUCCUUCCCCAUCACUCCUACCAGACUUUGCUCUGCUGAAGCUGUUGUCCCUGAUGGUGGAUUUGCUGUAGGAAGUGUGGUGGCUGCUCUGGCCUGCCAUGGCUUUUUGAGCAAUUGGUAGAGAAUUAGUAUGAGGGAGGGAAGCUGGGGGUGGUGAUUGACGUGUGGCAGGGAUGGGGGAUGGGAUCAGAGAAGAAGAUAAAGAACUGUCCCUCUUGAACUCUGCCCUGGGGCAUAUGGGAGAUGGGGACGGGGUGGGGGGAGAUGAUAACGGCAGAACCCUGUGAAGAAUAGGAGAGUGGGAAUUCUAAAAUAUCAGUUUGAAACAAACCACCCUUCUCCACAGCAAAGGAGCUGUUGCAGACCAUAUUGAUUUCAGCUUCUGAUGAAAGCGAAUGUGUGCUUAUAAGCUUGCAAGGAAUCGGCAUGGUAUUCCAAGGCUGUUGGGAAAAAAAAAUCUGUUUCCUCUCUGUGCCUCUACUCGCUGUGCCUUUCUGGCUUUAGCAACACUGGACGUCAAAUUAGGUUAACAACUUUAACCAUGGAGAUUUCUAACAAGGAGACAACGUCAAGCUCUCAGAGCACAAGACAGUGAAUUUUUAGAAGGGGCUCUUUCCUAAGUGUGUGAAGGCUCUUCUGAGCAUAGCCAGCAGUUAAGAGCACAGACUCUGAAACCAGACCCCUGGAUUUGGAUGUUGGCACCAUUGCUUUCUGUCUCUGUGACCCUUGGGGUAAGUCAAUUACAUUCUCUGUGCCUCAGUUUCCUCAUCUUAAAAUGGAGACAAUAGUAGUAACCACCUCACAGGAUUGUUGCAAAGAUUAAAUGAAUAUAUAAUAUGCAAAAUACUUAGAACUCCACUUGGUAUAUAGUAAACUGCAUUAAUGACAGUUAUUAUAAAUAGUGCUUUUGUGAUACACACUUAAAAUUUUCAUUAAAAAAUCAAAUUUUUCUGGGGCACCUGGGUGGCUCAGUCAGUUAAGUGACUUCGGCUCAGGUCUUUAUCUCACAGUUUGUGGGUUCGAGCCCUGCAUCGGGCUCUGUGCUGACAACUUGGCACAUGGAGCCUGUUUCAGAUUCUGUGUCUCCCUCUCACUCUCUGCCCCUCCCUCACUCACACUCUGUCCAUCUCUCUCUCAAAAAUAAUAAAAUAAAGAUAUAUUAAAACA
rnacentral:lncRNA from 1 species